AUCCAGCUGACUAGUCUCAAAUAGGACGAAACGUGCGUCCUGGAU
rnacentral:hammerhead_ribozyme from 1 species